ensembl:lncRNA
UGCGGAAGGAUGAAAGAUGUGUUUUGAAAAUGCCACGUGACUACCGUCCUCCUCCCUGAUCAGUCCGCAUGUUCACGGUGCAUUUUUUAUGGAAUAUGUUGAGCAAACCUGGAGAAGCGUCAGCUCAAGAUAUUAUUGUUGUCAUUGCUGUGGAUCUUUACCUGAUACACUGACUUGGCUCGGGACCAGCACUCCUGUUGUUGGACAGAAAGACAUCAACUUGAGAUAUGACUGCACUGUGCUGUUGCUGGUGACUCCAGUUAAUUCUACAAGACAUGCUGUGACACCAGGAGAGAUGAGUCCUCCGUCACAGAUGGUGUGGUCAGUGAAGAUGGUCGCCUGCAGGUUCAAGCUCAUUACAUCUCCAACCCACAUCCACUGCCACUGUACUUAAGGGAAGUUAAAGACUUUCUUCUGCACCUACAUUUGGAUCACCUAAAUCAAUGACAGUCAUUCAGGCAGUAAUGCCUGGACUGGAAACAAGCAUCCUUAAAAUAUUACAACAUUCCAGCUCCUGUGUUGGAAUGACAAACGAAUGUGUUGUUUAAAUUAGAGACUGCACUUGUGACAGAACAAUAAAUAUUUUAUGUUGAUUAUAUAAAUAAUGUAAGUACAAAACAAACUUGUGGUAGGCCUAAACUUAUUUUCAGAAUAAUUACAUCUGAGACUUUGUUUCGUUGUAAGAUUAUAACAGUGAUGGCAAUAUAAUUGUUUGUUGUUCAGUAGAACAGUGUCCAGUAUGUUGGCUGUUAUACUUUGUUGUGUUUGAAAAUAAAAGUUGUGCUCAUUUUAACAUCAUUACAAAAAUUGUUGUUAAUUAUUUUUAAUCAUAUUCAUGGUACCACAAAUUGUUUUUUUCAUUUAGUUGAACUUGAAAUGUUUGUCAGUAGGUAAAGAAUAGUAUUGUCAGAAAGUCAGAAAUAUCAAGUUAUUCUUAAUACUGCAGACUUGCAAUGUAUAAGUUGUCCUAACAGUCAUCUUAAGUAAGCUUUACUUAGUUUUUUUGAGGCAACGAGUUUCCAUAAUUUUUUUGAGUUCUGGGAACUAACAAGGCUGUACAGUGUACUCAAAAUGAGUAAGUUGCCCUAACUUGGUCAUCUUACGUAAACUUGAUCCAAUUUUUUUGAGUUCUGGGAACAAAUGAGCUUGUACAGAGUACUCAAAAUAAAUACGUUGUCCUAACUUAGUCAAUUUUAGCUAAGCUUUACUCAAUUUUUUUGAGGCAACGAGUUUCCAUAAUUUUUUUGAGUUCUGGGAACUAAUUAGAUUUUACAGUGUAUGAAUAUUAUCUUAUGUUCUGGUUGCUAUGUAUUCUGUUAAGGUUUUGUGCUCCCUCUGUUUAGUGUUGAGUCAUCCCUGCUCAUGUGUUCCCUCUGUUCGCUGUCUGCGUAUAUUUCCUGUUUUACUUUGAAGGUCUGUGUCUCUUGUCUCAUCAUGUCAAUUAGGAUCAGCUGUGCCUCCCUCCUGUUUUGCCAUUCCUCGUUCCUCCGUGUGUGUAUAUAUAGUGUGUGUUUGUUUAUUAGUGCUGUCCUAACACUCUCGCUUCUGUUUGUAUAUCACUCAUUGUAAAUAAACUGCUCACUCG